GAUGAACGCUGGCGGCGUGCCUAAUACAUGCAAGUCGAGCGAACAGACGAGGAGCUUGCUCCUCUGACGUUAGCGGCGGACGGGUGAGUAACACGUGGAUAACCUACCUAUAAGACUGGGAUAACUUCGGGAAACCGGAGCUAAUACCGGAUAAUAUAUUGAACCGCAUGGUUCAAUAGUGAAAGACGGUUUUGCUGUCACUUAUAGAUGGAUCCGCGCCGCAUUAGCUAGUUGGUAAGGUAACGGCUUACCAAGGCAACGAUGCGUAGCCGACCUGAGAGGGUGAUCGGCCACCAUGGAACUGGGACACGGUCCAGACUCCUAAGGGAGGCAGCAGUAGGGAAUCUUCCGCCAUGGGCGAAAGCCUGACGGAGCAACGCCGCGUGAGUGAUGAAGGUCUUCGGAUCGUAAAACUCUGUUAUUAGGGAAGAACAAAUGUGUAAGUAACUAUGCACGUCUUGACGGUACCUAAUCAGAAAGCCACGGCUAACUACGUG
rnacentral:rRNA from 1 species